GGCCGGCAUUUCUGUCCUCUUGCUUCAGCAGAGCCUUGGAUCCGUAAAAAAACUACUAAUUCCCCAAGUAUAAUCAACACAAACAACUAUAUAGACACUAUGUACUAGAUUAUUAGAACUAGGUUAAUUUCACUCUCAACGAUUGAAGACCGACUGACUGAAUCCCUUGGAAGCUUCCCCCCGCGUACGUACAAACCAAAAAAAAAAAAGGUAAAAUAGAAAAAGAAAAUUUCUUCAAAAAGAAGAAAAAAAUAGGGAGAAGCCCCUCUACUAAGAAAAAAGGGAAGCGAAGGGAUCAAGCGCACGCCUUGUAUGUAGCGAGACAGCACUCCACAGCUAGCAGCACACUCAAUAUUUUCUACUAUUAUGUACUACGUAGCCUUAAAGAAAUUAGGCAAGAAUAAAUAUUCCUUCUUCUGAUCGUGGAGCUUGGAAGUAGUGAUGUCAGAUGCGUUGAUGACUGUAAUUUUAUGUACUAAAUAAUGUUAUUUCUUUAUUAUAAUUUUUAAGAGGCUGUAGCCAUCAGCCAUCUUAAUUAAUACUAUGUUAUACACAUAUAAAUAAUAAAUAGAUUUGGACCCGUU
rnacentral:lncRNA from 1 species